AUGCAGGAAGCACUCGUCGUCGCGCGGGAAGACGAGCCAGCUGCCGCAGACGCCCUGGUACCCGGCGAAGCCGAAUCCCGGGAAGCGGAAGGGCUUGGCGUAGGGGAGGCUGUAGAAGGUGCCGUCCGGGAGCGCGAGCAGCGGCAGCGGCGGGUGCAGGCGGAGGAACUGUUGCGCGACGUCGCGCCACUGCGGGCACACGGCGGCGAAGCGGGCGCGGUCGGCGUACGCGGGGAGGAGGCGGAGCACCAGGCUCGCCAGGUCCAGCGGGAUGGCCGACCACGACGGCGGCGGCGAGCGCGGCUGCGUCUCCGCCAUCGGUCCUGCGAGAAUACUCAGUAG
rnacentral:rRNA from 1 species